UGGCUCAGUGGUAGAGCACUUGCCUAGCAUGCAUGAGGCACUGGGUUCGAUCCUCAG
rnacentral:tRNA from 1 species